AUACGGAGGAUGCGAGCGUUAUCCGGAUUUAUUGGGUUUAAAGGGAGCGUAGGGGGGAAAUUAAGUCAGCUGUGAAAGUUUGGGGCUCAACCUUAAAAUUGCAGUUGAUACUGGUUUCCUUGAGUACGGUACAGGUGGACCGAAUUCGUGGUGUAGGGGUUAAAUGCUUAGAUAUCACGAAGAAAUCCGAUCGCGAAGGCAGCUCACCGGGCCGGAACUGACACUGAUGCUCGAAAGUGCGGGUAUCAAACAGGAUUAGAUACCCUGGUAGUCCGCACAGUAAACGAUGAAUACUCGCUGUUUGCGAUACACUGUAAGCGGCCAAGCGAAAGCGUUAAGUAUUCCACCUGGGGAGUACGCCGGCAACGGUGAAACUUAAAGGAAUUGACGGGG
rnacentral:rRNA from 1 species